GCUUAGGUAGCUUAAUUUAAAGCUUAAUAUUGAAGAUAUUAGUAUAGGUUAUUACUUUCUAGGCA
rnacentral:tRNA from 1 species